GAUGAACGCUGGCGGCGUGCCUAAUACAUGCCAGUCGAGCGAACAGACGAGGAGCUUGCUCCUCUGACGUUAGCGGCGGACGGGUGAGUAACACGUGGAUAACCUACCUAUAAGACUGGGAUAACUUCGGGAAACCGGAGCUAAUACCGGAUAAUAUAUUGAACCGCAUGGUUCAAUAGUGAAAGACGGUUUUGCUGUCACUUAUAGAUGGAUCCGCGCCGCAUUAGCUAGUUGGUAAGGUAACGGCUUACCAAGGCAACGAUGCGUAGCCGACCUGAGAGGGUGAUGGGCCACACUGGAACUGAGACACGGUCCAGACUCCUACGGGAGGCAGCAGUAGGGAAUCUUCCGCAAUGGGCGAAAGCCUGACGGAGAAACGCCGCGUGAGUGAUGAAGGUCUUCGGAUCGUAAAACUCUGUUAUUAGGGAAGAACAAAUGUGUAAGUAACUAUGCACGUCUUGACGGUACCUAAUCAGAAAGCCACGGCUAACUACGUG
rnacentral:rRNA from 1 species